rnacentral:misc_RNA from 1 species
GAAAUGCGAGAAGUAAUGUGAAUUGCAGAAUUCAGUGAAUCAUCGAAUCUUUGAACGCACAUUGCGCCCGCCAGUAUUCUGGCGGGCAUGCCUGUUCGAGCGUCAUUACAACCCUCAGGCCCCCGGGCCUGGCGUUGGGGAUCGGCGGAAGCCCCCUGCGGGCACAACGCCGUCCCCCAAAUACAGUGGCGGUCCCGCCGCAGCUUCCAUUGCGUAGUAGCUAACACCUCGCAACUGGAGAGCGGCGCGGCCACGCCGUAAAACACCCAACUUCUGAAUGUUGACCUCGAAUCAGGUAGGAAUACCCGCUGAACUUAAGC